rnacentral:rRNA from 1 species
AGUGGAGCAAUCCAUGAGUAAAGUGGCGCACGGGUGAGUAACACGUGAAUGAUCUACCUCCGAGUGGGGAAUAACCUAGAGAAAUCUGGGCUAAUACCGCAUAACACUUACGAGUCAAAGCAGCAAUGCGCUUGGAGAGGAGUUCGCGGCCGAUUAGUUAGUUGGCGGGGUAAUGGCCCACCAAGACGAUGAUCGGUAUCCGGCCUGAGAGGGCGCACGGACACACUGGAACUGAAACACGGUCCAGACUCCUACGGGAGGCAGCAGUGGGGAAUUUUGCGCAAUGGGGGAAACCCUGACGCAGCAACGCCGCGUGGAGGAUGAAAUCCCUUGGGAUGUAAACUCCUUUCGAUCGGGACGAUCAUGACGGUACCGGAAGAAGAAGCCCCGGCUAACUUCGUGCCAGCAGCCGCGGUAAUACGAGGGGGGCAAGCGUUGUUCGGAAUUAUUGGGCGUAAAGGGCGCGUANGCGGUUUGACAAGUCUGAUGUGAAAUCUCUGGGCUC